CCAGGAGCCAGCAGGGCUCUGUUAACAGGAUUUGAAACGGCAUCAAAAGGAGGCCCACGAGAAAGUCUGAGACAGCCAGAGAGAGGAGGAGGAGUGGGAGAUGGAGAUGAUGACCAGCAGGUUGAGAACCACAGUGAGCAGAGAGAUGGAGGACAGCACAACGUAAAUGAACAUUGCCUCAGCCCGAGGGCGAAUAUGCUUCUUGCAGGAGGUGUUGAGGAGUUGUGGAAAGCAGAGUUCAGCUUCCUCCAGGUUCUGCAUCAUCAGAGAGAGGAGGACAGGAGGAGCUGCUGAACACACAGCUUUCUCAGAAAUUUGCCCUGUUCCCCUGGAUUACAUGUCCCCGCCAGUCUGCACAGUUGUCUGGAGUUAUCCCCACCUCGCCGUGCCUGCCAGCUCCCACAACUUCUCCCUCCCCAACAGAACCCGGAUCUUGCCCUGAUCCCCCUCAGCUCGCAUAUUCCCUCUCUGUUGUCAAAUAAACCUCUUAAAUUCA